rnacentral:rRNA from 1 species
GAUGAACGCUGGCGGCGUGCCUAAUACAUGCAAGUCGAGCGAACAGACGAGGAGCUUGCUCCUCUGACGUUAGCGGCGGACGGGUGAGUAACACGUGGAUAACCUACCUAUAAGACUGGGAUAACUUCGGGAAACCGGAGCUAAUAUCGGAUAAUAUAUUGAACCGCAUGGUUCAAUAGUGAAAGACGGUUUUGCUGUCACUUAUAGAUGGAUCCGCGCCGCAUUAGCUAGUUGGUAAGGUAACGGCUUACCAAGGCGACGAUGCGUAGCCGACCUGAGAGGGUGAUCGGCCACACUGGAACUGAGACACGGUCCAGACUCCUACGGGAGGCAGCAGUAGGGAAUCUUCCGCAAUGGGCGAAAGCCUGACGGAGCAACGCCGCGUGAGUGAUGAAGGUCUUCGGAUCGUAAAACUCUGUUAUUAGGGAAGAACAAAUGUGUAAGUAACUAUGCACGUCUUGACGGUACCUAAUCAGAAAGCCACGGCUAACUACGUG